GUUGCUCAAGUUCAUCCCUUACCUGGAAUGCUUCACAAGUGUAAGUCUAAAUUUGUGGAUAAAAAUCGAUUCGUUUUCAUAUGCUAUUAAUCAUUUUAAGCUGUAAGGAUUCUGUUAUUUUUUGUGAUUUGAAAAUUUGGAUAUGUUUUUUAUGGGUCCGAAUUGUAACCCGAUCUGAAAGUUUUCGCGCUGCGACCGAUUGGGAUGGUAGCGGAGGACACGGGCCGAUAGGCCCAGGCUCGUAGCACACUACUGAUCUCCUUGGGGUGCAGGCGCAACCCCCACGGUAUGGACCAGUAUAAAUAUUG
rnacentral:misc_RNA from 1 species